UACGAAGGGGGCUAGCGUUGCUCGGAAUCAUUGGGCGUAAAGCGCACGUAGGCGGUCUGUUAUGUCGGAUGUGAAAGCCCUCGGCUUAACUGAGGAAGUGCAUCCGAAACUGGCAGGCUAGAGUACCAAAGAGGGUCGCGGAAUUCCCGGUGUAGAGGUGAAAUUCGUAGAUAUCGGGAGACACGGUGGCGAAGGCGGCGCCUGGGUGGAUACUGACGCUGAGGUGCGAAAAGCUGGGGAGCAAACAGG
rnacentral:rRNA from 1 species